rnacentral:rRNA from 1 species
GCCUCCCUCUUUCUUCGUGCUUAACACAUGCAAGUCGAACGGAAAGGCCCUGCUUUUGUGGGGUGCUCGAGUGGCGAACGGGUGAGUAACACGUGAGUAACCUGCCCUUGACUUUGGGAUAACUUCAGGAAACUGGGGCUAAUACCGGAUAGGAGCUCCUGCUGCAUGGUGGGGGUUGGAAAGUUUCGGCGGUUGGGGAUGGACUCGCGGCUUAUCAGCUUGUUGGUGGGGUAGUGGCUUACCAAGGCUUUGACGGGUAGCCGGCCUGAGCGGGUGACCGGCCACAUUGGGACUGAGAUACGGCCCAGACUCCUACGGGAGGCAGCAGUGGGGAAUAUUGCACAAUGGGCGGAAGCCUGAUGCAGCAACGCCGCGUGCGGAAUGACGGCCUUCGGGUUGUAAACCGCUUUCGCCUGUGACGAAGCGUGAGUGACGGUAAUGGGUAAAGAAGCACCGGCUAACUACGUG